AUUAUUUUGGCAGAUUAAUGCAUUAAAUUUAGGAUUUAUUUAUGUAAUGUAAAUUACAAAUAAUA
rnacentral:tRNA from 1 species